UUCUGGGGCAACGGAAGCCAAAAGAUGGGUCCUGGUGCGGCGGAGACGGAAGUCUGGGAACAGCCUCCUGCUUCGCAAGCCUCAGAGUGGAGAGGGGGCAGAGGGCGGCAGCCCCUGGGCCCUGGAGUCCGGGUCCAAAUCUGAUAUCUCAGUGCCCAAUCCUGAGUGCCUCCCUGCCUCCGCCUCCCCCCCCCCUUUUUGCAGCCCCUCACUCUCUAGUCCCAGGAAGAAGACAGAGGCUGGGAGCUUGGGGUGGGGGCGUACCCUCCUCCAGCCCUGGCAGGAGGAGGGGUCCCCAGGGAGGCCAAGAGGGGGGGCUGUGGGUCUCCUGGCAGGGGCGGACGGGGACUGAAUGUUAAUCGCAACCCGAGUGAGUGUGUGUGUGCGAGAACAGAGCGAGUGUGCGAGUCCCUCCCGCUCCGGUUCCUCCAAGCGGUGGCCGCCGCCACCCUCUGCCUGCAGCCUCCCUCGGCCACCGGUGCCCAGCUGGGGGGUGUUGGCCUGGGUGGGUCCGCCCGGCCCCCAGGGGUCUCUCGUGCGUCUGCCAUCUGCCCGGUGAGGAUCUGUGUGUCCGGGUGUCUGGGGUUGGGCUGGUGGAGGGGGGGGGUGUGUCUGUAAGGGCUGCGGCGGCGGCGGCGGCGGCGGUGGAGGGAGGGAGAGAAGGAGGGGUCUGUCUGUCUGUCUCAACCCUGAGGGCCCCCCCGCCCCCGCCGCCUACCUGCGUGUCUUGGACCCCUCAGUUUCCUUCCCCACCAGCCCCCCAAACCCGGAUGGAUGGUGUGUACCUGGGCUCUGUGCCUCCUGCCUGCGUCCGGCCAGGCGUCUGGCGUCCCCCGCUGCCUAUGUCCUCCUGUCUGUCCGAACAGCCCCUGACGGCAGUGGUAGCCCAGCCUCAACAGACCCCGCGCGCGCGCGCGCGCGCGCGCGUGUGUGUGUGUGUGUGUCCUUCCUCAAGCUCCGGGGGUGUUGGAGGGGGAAUCCCAGGGAAGCGAGGUGGUGCGUGUGUAUGUAUGUGUGUGUUUCUGCCUGUGUUUGAGAGUAGGGGUGCGGGGGGGGGCGUCUGGAGGUGGCCAAGCGAGGAAAGGGCACCCCAGACAGGCAGUCCCCCGCCCCUCGCACAAACACACACACCAGCCACGGGCUUCAGAGGUGACCCAGACAGACAGACAGACAGACACAGACGCGGGGGGUGGGGGUGGGCUGAGGGCACCAAGGGGGGUGAGAAUGAGCCAGGGAGAGGCGGGACUGGACUCUUGGACCGGGGGGGGGAGCCGGGGCUGAAGCGGCAGAGGGGGGCACCCCGGGUGGGCGGAGGGGGGAUCCCCACGGGGUCGGGGCGGCGAGAGGACACCCCGACAGCCUCCGCAAUGUCCGGGGCCCAACUUCCAGCGCAACAUGUGUAG
rnacentral:lncRNA from 1 species